rnacentral:RNase_P_RNA from 1 species
GGGGCGCACCGGAUCAUCGCGCGGCCCGGGAAACCGGGAGUGAGGAAAGUCCGGACACCGAAGGGCGCAUGACCGGGUAAUUCCCGGGCGCAUGUUUCCAAAGAUUCAUGUGACGGAAAGUGCAGCAGAAAAGAUACCGCCCGAAAGGGUAAGGGUGAAAUGGCGGGGUAAAAGCCCACCGCGCAGACGGCAACGUCUGCGGCACGGUAAACCCUCAUGGGUGCAAUCCCGAGUAAGCAGCCGAUUGAAGCCGGCCCGGCUGAGGCUGCGGGUGGGGAGCAAAAAACGGCGAAAGUAAUUACGCAGUUAAGAUAAAUGAUGGUCCUCGACAGAAUCCGGCUUACAGGUGCGCCCCGCCC